GUACCUAUGGUGUAGUGGUUAUCACAUCCGCCUAACACGCGGAAGGUCCCAGGUUCGAGACUUGGUAGGUACA
rnacentral:tRNA from 1 species